rnacentral:lncRNA from 1 species
CAAUAUCCUGUUCUGUUAUAGGUUUUAAAUAUGUGAUGACUUAUCAGGAUGCAGCAACUCCUGUUGUAGUUUUGUGAACAAAAAACUCCAACAAUACUCUUUUAGCUGUUCAUAUCUCUCAACCCUUUUUAAUGGUACGCUGUGAAGAGUAUUGCUAUUUCAGCUACCCAUGGUCCUUUUUGAAGAGGCUUUUGAAGUACUGGACAACAUAUAUUAUUUUCUGUACUUGAAAAUGCAAUCUCAUUCCAUGCUCUGGAUAUGCAUCUGGCAGUUAAUUAAAGAUGCCAGAAAGCACAAUCACAAAAGGCGUAGAACAUUAGAGAAACACCAAAAUCAAGUCUUUAUAGCUUUUCACCACCCAAGAAAGAGCAGGGAUGGUUACCAGUAUCUAAACAUUCUUUGCACGAAAAGCUAUUUGUCAUAUCUUAUAAUCACAUUUUGAGGAACAGCUAAUUAAGAACACCUCCAAACAGGCUUAAGCUAUUUGUCAUAUCUUAUAAUCACAUUUUGAGGAACAGCUAAUUAAGAACACCUCCAAACAGGCUUAAGCUGUUUGGUUACUAUCAGUUUUAAAACUUUUUCUUUUGUGUUUCCUGGUGUUAUUCCGCAC